UACAGAGGAGCCAAGCGUUGUCCGGAUUGACUGGGCGUAAAGCGCACGCAGGCGGUCUGGCGCGUGGGAUGUGAAAUCUGGCCGCUUAACGGCCAGGCGCCAUCCCAUACGGCCGGACUGGAGCCUUGCAGAGGUCGGUGGAAUUGCCGGUGUAGUGGUGAAAUGCGUAGAGAUCAGGAAGAACAUCGGUGGCGAAGGCGCUCUGCUGGACCAUAACUGACACUCAGGGACGAAAGCUAGGGGAGCGAAUGGG
rnacentral:rRNA from 1 species